UAGCCUAAUGAUUGAGGUUUUGGAUUGCCAAUCCGGAGACGGCGGGUUCAAUUCCCGU
rnacentral:tRNA from 1 species